rnacentral:rRNA from 1 species
GAUGAACGCUAGCGGCAGGCUUAACACAUGCAAGUUCGAGGGGUAACACGAGCGCUCGCACUCGAUGACGACCGGCGCACGGGUGCGUAACGCGUAUAGAAAUCUACCUUAUACUAGGGGAUAGCCUUUCGGAAACGAAAGAAUAAUACCCUAUAGUAAGUAUUUAUGGCAUCAUUUAUACUUUAAAGGUUUACGGUAUAAGAAGACUAUGCGUCCUAUUAGUUUGUUGGUGAGGUAACGGCUCACCAAGACUUCGAUAGGUAGGGGCCCCUGAGAGGGGGAUCCCCCACACUGGUACUGAGACACGGACCAGACUCCUACGGGAGGCAGCAGUGAGGAAUAUUGGACAAUGGAGGAAACUCUGAUCCAGCCAUGCCGCGUGCAGGAUGACGGCCCUAUGGGUUGUAAACUGCUUUUAUGUAGGAAGAAACACUCUCACGUGUGAGAGCUUGACGGUACUACAAGAAUAAGGACCGGCUAACUCCGUGCCAGCAGCCGCGGUAAUACGGAGGGUCCAAGCGUUAUCCGGAAUCAUUGGGUUUAAAGGGUCCGUAGGCGGGCUAUUAAGUCAGAGGUGAAAGUUUGCAGCUCAACUGUAAAAUUGCCUUUGAAACUGGUAGUCUUGAAUUAUUAUGAAGUGGUUAGAAUAAGUAGUGUAGCGGUGAAAUGCAUAGAUAUUACUUAGAAUACCAAUUGCGAAGGCAGAUCACUAAUAAUAUAUUGACGCUGAGGGACGAAAGCGUGGGGAGCGAACAGGAUUAGAUACCCUGGUAGUCCACGCCGUAAACGAUGGAUACUAGCUGUUCGGAUUUAUCUGAGUGGUUAAGCGAAAGUGAUAAGUAUCCCACCUGGGGAGUACGUUCGCAAGAAUGAAACUCAAAGGAAUUGACGGGGGCCCGCACAAGCGGUGGAGCAUAUGGUUUAAUUCGAUGAUACGCGAGGAACCUUACCAGGGCUUAAAUGUAGUUCUGACAGGCGUGGAAACGUGCUUUUCUUCGGACAGAUUACAAGGUGCUGCAUGGUUGUCGUCAGCUCGUGCCGUGAGGUGUCAGGUUAAGUCCUAUAACGAGCGCAACCCCUGUUGUUAGUUGCCAGCGAGUCAUGUCGGGAACUCUAACAAGACUGCCAGUGCAAACUGUGAGGAAGGUGGGGAUGACGUCAAAUCAUCACGGCCCUUACGUCCUGGGCCACACACGUGCUACAAUGGUAGGUACAGAGAGCAGCCACUGCGCGAGCUAGGAGCGAAUCUAUAAAACUCUAUCUCAGUUUCGGAAUCGGAGUCUGCAACUCGACUCCGUGAAAGCUGGAAUCGCUAGUAAUCGGAAUAUCGAGCCAUGAUUCCGGUGAAAUACGUUCCCGGGCCU